GUGUCAGCCGCCGCGGUAAUACGGAGGGUGCAAGCGUUGUCCGGAAUUACUGGGCGUAAAGAGCUCGUAGGUGGUUUGUCGCGUCGUCUGUGAAAUCCCGGGGCUUAACUCCGGGCGUGCAGGCGAUACGGGCAUAACUUGAGUGCUGUAGGGGAGACUGGAAUUCCUGGUGUAGCGGUGAAAUGCGCAGAUAUCAGGAGGAACACCGAUGGCGAAGGCAGGUCUCUGGGCAGUAACUGAUGCUGAGGAGCGAAAGCAUGGGUAGCGAACAGGAUUAGAAACC
rnacentral:rRNA from 1 species